GUACAGCAGAUCACUCAAGGCUUGCUGAGACAUGACUUCGCAUUCAUACCACUUGGGAAAGUAUCAUCAUCUUACAUUGAAAAUUAACUGGAAGAUACUGAUAAUUAUAUAGGUUUUAUGCAAUAUGGCAGUACAGCAGAUCACUCAAGGCUUGCUGAGACAUGACUUCGCAUUCAUACCACUUGGGAAAGUAUCAUCAUCUUACAUUGAAAAUUAACUGGAAGAUACUGAUAAUUAUAUAGGUUUUAUGCAAUAUGGCAGUACAGCAGAUCACUCAAGGCUUGCUGAGACAUGAGUUCGCAUUCAUACCACUUGGGAAAGUAUCAUCAUCUUACAUUGAAAAUUAACUGGAAGAUACUGAUAAUUAUAUAGGUUUUAUGCAAUAUGGCAGUACAGCAGAUCACUCAAGGCUUGCUGAGACAUGACUUCGCAUUCAUACCACUUGGGAAAGUAUCAUCAUCUUACAUUGAAAAUUAACUGGAAGAUACUGAUAAUUAUAUAGGUUUUAUGCAAUAUGACAGUAUAAAGAACACUAGAUGCAUGCUGAGACAUGAAUUCACAUUUCUACCACUUCGGAAAGUAUCAAUGUCUUACGUGGAAAAUGGACUAGAAAAUACUGAUAAUAUUAAUGGUUUUAUGCAAUAUGGCAGUACAGCAGAUCACUCAAGGCUUGCUGAGACAUGACUUCGCAUUCAUACCACUUGGGAAAGUAUCAUCAUCUUACAUUGAAAAUUAACUGGAAGAUACUGAUAAUUAUAUAGGUUUUAUGCAAUAUGACAGUAUAAAGAACACUAGAUGCAUGCUGAGACAUGAAUUCACAUUUCUACCACUUCGGAAAGUAUCAAUGUCUUACGUGGAAAAUGGACUAGAAAAUACUGAUAAUAUUAAUGGUUUUAUGCAAUAUGGCAGUACAGCAGAUCACUCAAGGCUUGCUGAGACAUGACUUCGCAUUCAUACCACUUGGGAAAGUAUCAUCAUCUUACAUUGAAAAUUAACUGGAAGAUACUGAUAAUUAUAUAGGUUUUAUGCAAUAUGACAGUAUAAAGAACACUAGAUGCAUGCUGAGACAUGAAUUCACAUUUCUACCACUUCGGAAAGUAUCAAUGUCUUACGUGGAAAAUGGACUAGAAAAUACUGAUAAUAUUAAUGGUUUUAUGCAAUAUGGCAGUACAGCAGAUCACUCAAGGCUUGCUGAGACAUGACUUCGCAUUCAUACCACUUGGGAAAGUAUCAUCAUCUUACAUUGAAAAUUAACUGGAAGAUACUGAUAAUUAUAUAGGUUUUAUGCAAUAUGACAGUAUAAAGAACACUAGAUGCAUGCUGAGACAUGAAUUCACAUUUCUACCACUUCGGAAAGUAUCAAUGUCUUACGUGGAAAAUGGACUAGAAAAUACUGAUAAUAUUAAUGGUUUUAUGCAAUAUGGCAGUACAGCAGAUCACUCAAGGCUUGCUGAGACAUGAGUUCGCAUUCAUACCACUUGGGAAAGUAUCAUCAUCUUACAUUGAAAAUUAACUGGAAGAUACUGAUAAUUAUAUAGGUUUUAUGCAAUAUGGCAGUACAGCAGAUCACUCAAGGCUUGCUGAGACAUGAGUUCGCAUUCAUACCACUUGGGAAAGUAUCAUCAUCUUACAUUGAAAAUUAACUGGAAGAUACUGAUAAUUAUAUAGGUUUUA